GCGGUGAAGGUGGAAGCAGCAGUGGAGGAGGAAGAUGAGGUAGCUAACACUAUAUAUAUAUAUAUAUAUAUUUUUUUUUUUUUUUUAUAUAUAUAUUUUUUUUUUAAUUGGGGUAGCCCCCAAAAUAUUGGGACAUAUAAAAAAAAGACAACUCUGUUCCGCAGAGUAUCUGUUGAGAUUAUAGUUGCACAGGCACUUUGUUGACUCUAGAGAACCUCGGGCCAAUGGCACAUCCCCGGGGCAGUGACUUUGCAUGCGGAUGUCAUCCAUAUCAGCUUUCGAUGCCAGUUUCUGCGUCUACCAUGGUGACCACGGGUAACAGGGAAUCAGGGUUCCAUUCUGUACAAGGACCCUGAAAAAUGGCUACCACAUGCAAGGAAGGCAGCAGGUGCGCAAAUGACCCACUCCCGACGCAGAAAGGUAGUGAAAACAAAUAACAAUACAGGACUCUUUAGAGGCCCUGUAAUUGUAAUGAGUCCACUUGAAAUCCUUUAACUCUGAUCAAUUAGAGGGAAGUCUGGUGCAGAGCCACUGACCCGUGAGUGCUGCAGCUGAAA